GGAAGUAAAAGUCGUAACAAGGUUUCCGUAGGUGAACCUGCGGAAGGAUCAUUACAGUAGUCACCCGGGUUGCCGCAAGGCCUCUCGGGUAACCUACCACCCUUUGUUUAUUACACUUUGUUGCUUUGGCAGGCCUGCCUUCGGGCUGCUGGCUCCGGCCGGCGAGCGCUUGCCAGAGGAUCUAAACUCUGUUUGUCUAUACUGUCUGAGUACUAUAUAAUAGUUAAAACUUUCAACAACGGAUCUCUUGGUUCUGGCAUCGAUGAAGAACGCAGCGAAAUGCGAUAAGUAAUGUGAAUUGCAGAAUUCAGUGAAUCAUCGAAUCUUUGAACGCACAUUGCGCCCCCUGGUAUUCCGGGGGGCAUGCCUGUCCGAGCGUCAUUACAACCCUCAAGCUCUGCUUGGUGUUGGGCCCCGCCGCCCCGGCGGGCCCUAAAGUCAGUGGCGGUGCCAUCCGGCUCCGAGCGUAGUAAUUCUUCUCGCUCUGGAGGUCCGGUUGUGUGCUUGCCAUCAACCCCCAA
rnacentral:rRNA from 1 species